UUUGCCCAAAUUAUUUCAACAAUUUAUGUCCCCACAAAAACCUGCGCAUGGAUGUUUAUAGCAGCUUUAUUCAUAACUGCCCAAACCUGGAAGUUACCAAGACGUCCUUCAGUAGGUGAAUGGAUAAAUAAACUGUGGUACAUCCAGACAACACAGUAUUAUUCAGCACUAAAAAGAAAUGAUCCAGGAAAAGACAUGGGGGAACCUUAAGUGCACAUUACUAAGUGAAAGAAGUCAAUCAGAAAAGACUACGUACUGUAUGAUUCCAACUAUAUGACAUUCUGGAAAAGGCAAAACUAUGAA